UACAGAGGGUGCGAGCGUUAAUCGGAAUUACUGGGCGUAAAGGGUGCGUAGGCGGGUUCUUAAGUUAGAGGUGAAAGCCUGGAGCUCAACUCCAGAACUGCCUUUAAUACUGGGAAUCUUGAGUUCGGAAGAGGUGAGUGGAACUGCGAGUGUAGAGGUGAAAUUCGUAGAUAUUCGCAAGAACACCAGUGGCGAAGGCGGCUCACUGGUCCGAUACUGACGCUGAGGCACGAAAGCGUGGGAGCAAACAGGG
rnacentral:rRNA from 1 species